CCUACGGGAGGCAGCAGUGGGGAAGUCUUGCGCAAUGGGCGAAAGCCUGACGCAGCCAUGCCGCGUGAAUGAUGAAGGUCUUAGGAUUGUAAAAUUCUUUCAGUAGGGACGAUAAUGAUGGUACCUACAGAAGAAGCCCCGGCUAACUUCGUGCCAGCAGCCGCGGUAAUACGAAGGGGGCUAGCGUUGCUCGGAAUUACUGGGCGUAAAGGGAGCGUAGGCGGGUUAUCAAGUUGGAGGUGAAAGCCCAGGGCUCAACCUUGGAAUUGCCUUCAAAACUGAUAGCCUAGAGUAUGAUAGAGGUAUGUGGAACUCCGAGUGUAGAGGUGAAAUUCGUAGAUAUUCGGAAGAACACCAGUGGNGAG
rnacentral:rRNA from 1 species